AUGUAAGGGCCUGAUAAAUUAUUUAAAGUCAUUGGGCCUCUUAAUUGGGUCAGCCAAACCCAUAAGCUAAGGGUGCCUUAGCCUUAGAGGGAGACUCUUUUUCAGAAGUCAGAUCUUUCAUUUGCCAUUUUCCACUCUCUCUCUCAAAAAAAAAAAAAAACCCCAUAUUUCCCUAAAUAUUGCUCUGCCUUCUCUCUAAAAUACCACUCUGCUGAACCGUUCAAUUCCUGGUUUGAAGGUGCCUAAGCGUCCACGACAGCAAGGGCUUUACUUUGAAUCGAUUAGUUUCUUUGUCUCCUUCCGGUAAGUGAUUUUCUUGUUUCUUCCGUUAUUUUCGAAACCUAGGGUUAGGACCCUCCCUUUUCUAAUUUCUAUUAUACUCUAGCUCUAAGAGCUGAUUCCAUCACCAUUUUGGUGAUUAUAGGUUCGAUUGAUCUUGUCUCUGCGUUAGGGUACUGUUUUGAGGUCUUGUGAGUUGUUCUGUGUAACCAAAAGGUAAGGAGAGCUAGUUAUAUAUAUUUUUUAAUUGUUUAUAUGCCCUGUAUGUAGGUAUGUAUAAUGUCUGUCAGAGGUUUUUACUGUUUUGUAACAUGAAAAAGGCCAAAUACUUUAAAACCUUCUUGUGCAACAUGAGAUCAUUUGGUGUCGGUUAUUAUGGAUGCAAGCUCAUGAAAAGUUUGCUGGUGGAAAUAUUUACAACAAUGAUAUACGUCCUCAAAAUGUGGGUUAAAACGAAAAUAUAUAUAUUUUGUGUUGGAACGUGUUUCUAAUUUUAUAUGGAUAUCUUAGUCUUUUAUUAUUGGUUUGAAAGGUUUUGUUUAUGCUAAAUAAUAUUACAACAUGGGUUUGUGGGUAAUAAUACUGUUGCAGUUUGCAAUUUGUGGUUUUGGUAAUGUUGUUACUUUCCUUUCAUAAAGAGUUAUUGUCACAACUCUAUUUUUUUGUUUUUAUGUUAUAUAGCUAUUGUAGCUCUAAUUCUGUAUCUUGUUUUUCAUUUUUCACUGUUGGAUGGGGGUAUUUGUUCAUUCAGUGUAUCCUAAUUAUGGGAUCAUAUUUUUCUUUAAUGAUAUAUUGGUCCUUUGUUUAAUUUCUUACUUUUACUAAUUAUUAUUUUGUCAAUAUAUUUCUGUGUAAGAAAUUAAUGGUCCAUCAUACAUAUAUUAUAUUAAUAUAGUGAAAUAUAUAAAGAAAGUAUGAUAUAUUGUGUUAAUAUAAUAUAGAUAUAUAUCUACAUAUGAUGCAGUACGUAUGUAUCUAUCACAUUAAUAUAAUAUAGAUAUUUGUAUAUAUAUUUUAGAAAGAAAAUGAGAUAUAUAGAAGUAUGGAACUUUUUUCACCUGUUGGUCAUAUACUUAUUGAUAUAUGCAAGGUAAUUAUGGGAUAUAUUAUUAUAAUGGUGUGUGGGCUCUAAAUAUGUGCAUGUAAAUAUUAUAUGUAUAUAAAUGUGUAGGUGGGACUUAGAAUUGGAUGAAAGGGUGGAAAACAUUUAUAUGUAAAAUUUAUUUAGAGUUAUGAUGUGAAAAUACAGUAAAAUAGAAUUGGUAGAUAAAGUGGGGACCGUGGAUGAAGUUCUUUUAUAAUUAAACAUAAGAAAAUUAUUAUAUAUAUGUUAAUAGAUGAAGUUACGUGAAUUGUAGAAUGGAUGAAUAAGGUGGGAUACUUUUGUUAGAAGGAUGAGUUUCUUUUUAUAAUUAGACAUUGGUAAGUGUAAAUGAAAACUGGAUAUAAAGUGAAACCUUUAUGUUUGAUUUUAAGUAUGUUGGCAAUUAUUUGAGAAUUGUUAUGUAGAAAGUAUCUAAGUGUUGUAAGUCUUGUUGACAUAUAAAAAGGGAGUUUGUGACUUCAUUCUUUUACUUUUAACAAAUUAUAUAUUUAUAUAUGUAUGAGGGAUUAUAAUUGUUGGAUUCGUUGCAUGCUUUAUGGAAUAAAGGUGAACACAUGUCAUUCACUAGAAUUUUUGUAUGAUGUUGGAAUUUAGAGAUGAAUGGUUAUUUUAUAUUGUUUUAUAUCUUGAGUUUGGUUGAUUACUAUAUGUAAUGAAAUUAUGUAUUGAGACUACUAUAUGAGAUUCGUGAUUGGUGAAUUAAGGUAUCGUAUUGAGACUAUGUAUGAAAGGAAUUGAGGUUGUGUUAUAAGUUAUGUGAUUUGGUGAGUAAGAUAUUGUUGAGAUUAUGUUUAUAUUGAUUGUGGCAAAAAGUAUAUGAUUACAAAGUGAUGAAAGUACAAUCCAAGUGGUAAACUAAGUUCCAUCUGUGUAAAAUCUCUCGGUGAGAUUUUUAGUAUUUUAAAAUGAAAGUAGGGGCUCAGCCUUGGGAGUCAUUCUGACGCUUCAAUGGUCAAUCAAACUCACUUAGAGAGGUUGAACCAUGUGGUGAGAAGUAGCAGGAGGUCCUUAGUCUUGGGGGCUCCCAGUAUGCCUCAAGGCCCUGAACGGACUAACCUCGUGAGUGUGGCAGGGUGGGGAACCCAAGUUUCAUAAGUCACCACGGGUGCAAGACUCGCCAUAGCCUGACUAUCAUUUUAAAGUCCGGACGAGUCAAGUCUAGAAAAUAACAUGCUUAGGUUGUGUUUAUUAAACUCUUUGAUUUAAGUUAUUUAUUGCAUGUUAUAUACUUGAUGUGAUGCAUGUUUUUUUUUUGUAUAAUUAGCUCACCCUUGCUUUUUCUUGUCUGUGUUUGUGCCAUGUCUGCUUGCUUGUUGUGUGUGUUUUCCUGUUGCAAUGAUCAUCCACUUGGAUGUGAGCAGAGGAAGGAGAGGUUUCACUGGAGCAUGUCUUGGAGGAAAAAUGAAGAUGUUGCAGCUUAGACUCACUANAAUUUCUUAGUUAUAUUAUGUCAUUUUGAGAUACUAUGUUUUGUCUUUAAAAUUUUUAAAUUCUUAGCUAUUUUGAUGGAUGACUGUAAUCCGAUUUGUCUAAAUGCACUUCUGACUGCUUUCCAGUAUUAUGAUUGAUGAUGUCUUAUUAUAUAUAUUUGUUAUAUAUUUGGGACGUCACAUACGAAAUGAUAGAAUAUUUUUUCUCUUGGUGCU
rnacentral:lncRNA from 1 species